rnacentral:rRNA from 1 species
AUGAACGCUGGCGGCGUGCCUAAUACAUGCAAGUCGAGCGAACAGAUGAGGAGCUUGCUCCUCUGACGUUAGCGGCGGACGGGGGAGUAACACGUGGAUAACCUACCUAUAAGACUGGGAUAACUUCGGGAAACCGGAGCUAAUACCGGAUAAUAUAUUGAACCGCAUGGUUCAAUAGGGAAAGACGGUUUUGCUGUCACUUAUAGAUGGAUCCGCGCCGCAUUAGCUAGUUGGUAAGGUAACGGCUUACCAAGGCAACGAUGCGUAGCCGACCUGAGAGGGUGAUCGGCCACACGGGAACUGAGACACGGUCCAGACUCCUACGGGAGGCAGCAGUAGGGAAUCUGCCGCAAUGGGCGAAAGCCUGACGGAGCAACGCCGCGUGAGUGAUGAAGGUCUUCGGAUCGUAAAACUCUGUUAUUAGGGAAGAACAAAUGUGUAAGUAACUAUGCACGUCUUGACGGUACCUAAUCAGAAAGCCACGGCUAACUACGUG